UCCCUGGAGGACUAGUGGUUAGGCCACAGCGCUCUCACUGCUGCGGUCCAGGGUCGAUUCCUGGCCAGGGAA